GACGAACGCUGGCGGUGUGCUUAACACAUGCAAGUCGAACGGUAAGGCCCUUUCGGGGGUACACGAGUGGCGCACGGGUGAGUAACACGUGAGUAACCUGCCCUCAUCUCUGGGAUAACAGUCGGAAACGGUUGCUAAUACUGGAUAUGAGCCUGCAAGGCAUCUUGUGGGUUGGAAAGAUUUUUUUGGUUGGGGAUGGACUCGCGGCCUAUCAGCUUGUUGGUGAGGUAGUGGCUCACCAAGGCUUCGACGGGUAGCCGGCCUGAGAGGGCGACCGGCCACAUUGGGACUGAGAUACGGCCCAAACUCCUACGGGAGGCAGCAGUGGGGAAUAUUGCACAAUGGACGGAAGUCUGAUGCAGCAACGCCGCGUGCGGGAUGACGGCCUUCGGGUUGUAAACCGCUUUCAAUUGUGACGAAGCUUUUUGUGACGGUAGCAGUAGAAGAAGCACCGGCUAACUACGUG
rnacentral:rRNA from 1 species